AAAGACGAAACUCUGUCGCUUUUUCGUUUACAAAAAGGAUUAUACUGGCACAGAAAAAAACACAGAGGAGAGGAAUGGACUUGAUUAGUGGUAUAGAAACGAACGGAGCAGCUUUUACAUAGCAUCAUUGUUGGCUGAGACAGAAGACGGUGUCUGGAUAAGCUGUGAGCAGGAGCGGCGCGUUUCCCGUCUGUUCUGUGACAACAAGAGACAUCUGGGAAGCAAGCAAGGCCAAACCUGCGACCACUGACUGAGUUGGUUUUAAGACAAAAUAUUUCAGUAAUAUAAGCCUAUACUGUGUUGUUUUCAUUUAUGGUGAGUGUGAUGCAAGUGUUUAACCAGACUGAAGAAUAAAUAAUAAAAAUGUGCAUCUGU